rnacentral:lncRNA from 7 species
AUCUCUUUCUGCAGCUGGUAGAUUUCCUCAGUGAAUCCUGUGGUACGACAUAGCUAAGACAGUGCUAAGAAGUUAUGGGAGCAUAUGCAAUUAUCCCAAAAUUGCCCUUGACAACCUGCAAAGACACAUUGAGGCAUUAGUUGAAACAUUAACGGAGGAGAACACUGAGGAAUCUGGAAUUUUAAUGAUUUGUGUGAAUGGUCUGCAAAAUCAAAGAUAGAAACAAAUAGGAACUGUGGAAUUUUUACCAAUUAAACACUCUACUUAAGAGAAUGUGUCCAUUUUCUAGAGUUCCUUCUUGAAACUUCUUUGGCACAUUUGACCUUCAUCCCAAAUGCUGUGAGUUUGUUUCUUUUUUUGUUUGUUUGGUUGGCUGUUGUAUUUUUGGUUGUUCUUUUUUAAUACAUAUAUUGGUCUGUGUCAGCAAUUCAACAACCAAGCCUAGUUUCCAUAUCUGAAUAUGUCUAUCAUCUUGAACAAGCAAGAUCUGCUGAAGACUGAUAUAUUUUAAGAGAGCAAAAACUACGUCUUAAAGAAAAAAAAAAAAAGCUAUUUACCAUUUUCAUAUUGAAUAAAGCUGUCAGAAU